AUUGAACGCUGGCUGCAGGGCUAACACAUGCAAGUCGAGCGAGAGGCGGACGGGGGAGUAAUGGAUGGGGACUGCCCGAUAGAGGGGGAUAACUACGGGAAACGGUGGCUAAUACGGCAUACUGUCGGAUAACCCAUAUGGGAGUAGCUAGUAGGUAAGGUAAUGGCUUACCUAGGCGACGAUCCCUAGCUGGUCUGAGAGGCUGAUCAGGCACACUGGGACUGAGACACGGCCCAGACUCCUACGGAGGCAGCAGUGAGGCAUAUUGCACAAUGGCCGCAAGCCUGAUGCAGCCAUGCCGCGUGUAUGAAGAAGGCCCUAGGGUUGUAAAGUACUUGCAGUCGGGAGGCGUUACCGACAGAAGAAGCACCGGCUAACUCCGUGCCAGCAGCCGCGGUAAUAC
rnacentral:rRNA from 1 species